UAUUUAGGUUCCCUAGGUCGCGUGGGGCGGAAUUGCGGUACUUUCCGUAAGGAACCCCCCGAGGCUCGGAAGCGCUCCAUACUUUUGGAGGGCUUUUUAGGG
rnacentral:sRNA from 12 species